GUCCUGAUAGUAUAAAAAUUACGCUGGUCUUGUAAACCAGUAAUGAAAAAAAAAAUUUUCUCAGGACA
rnacentral:tRNA from 1 species